rnacentral:misc_RNA from 1 species
CCUGAAAUUUUAGUUUUUAGUGCCACUA